UUAAAUUGAAGAGUUUGAUCAUGGCUCAGAUUGAACGCUGGCGGCAGGCCUAACACAUGCAAGUCGAACGGUAACAGGAAGCAGCUUGCUGCUUUGCUGACGAGUGGCGGACGGGUGAGUAAUGUCUGGGAAACUGCCUGAUGGAGGGGGAUAACUACUGGAAACGGUAGCUAAUACCGCAUAACGUCGCAAGACCAAAGAGGGGGACCUUCGGGCCUCUUGCCAUCGGAUGUGCCCAGAUGGGAUUAGCUUGUUGGUGGGGUAACGGCUCACCAAGGCGACGAUCCCUAGCUGGUCUGAGAGGAUGACCAGCCACACUGGAACUGAGACACGGUCCAGACUCCUACGGGAGGCAGCAGUGGGGAAUAUUGCACAAUGGGCGCAAGCCUGAUGCAGCCAUGCCGCGUGUAUGAAGAAGGCCUUCGGGUUGUAAAGUACUUUCAGCGGGGAGGAAGGGAGUAAAGUUAAUACCUUUGCUCAUUGACGUUACCCGCAGAAGAAGCACCGGCUAACUCCGUGCCAGCAGCCGCGGUAAUACGGAGGGUGCAAGCGUUAAUCGGAAUUACUGGGCGUAAAGCGCACGCAGGCGGUUUGUUAAGUCAGAUGUGAAAUCCCCGGGCUCAACCUGGGAACUGCAUCUGAUACUGGCAAGCUUGAGUCUCGUAGAGGGGGGUAGAAUUCCAGGUGUAGCGGUGAAAUGCGUAGAGAUCUGGAGGAAUACCGGUGGCGAAGGCGGCCCCCUGGACGAAGACUGACGCUCAGGUGCGAAAGCGUGGGGAGCAAACAGGAUUAGAUACCCUGGUAGUCCACGCCGUAAACGAUGUCGACUUGGAGGUUGUGCCCUUGAGGCGUGGCUUCCGGAGCUAACGCGUUAAGUCGACCGCCUGGGGAGUACGGCCGCAAGGUUAAAACUCAAAUGAAUUGACGGGGGCCCGCACAAGCGGUGGAGCAUGUGGUUUAAUUCGAUGCAACGCGAAGAACCUUACCUGGUCUUGACAUCCACGGAAGUUUUCAGAGAUGAGAAUGUGCCUUCGGGAACCGUGAGACAGGUGCUGCAUGGCUGUCGUCAGCUCGUGUUGUGAAAUGUUGGGUUAAGUCCCGCAACGAGCGCAACCCUUAUCCUUUGUUGCCAGCGGUCCGGCCGGGAACUCAAAGGAGACUGCCAGUGAUAAACUGGAGGAAGGUGGGGAUGACGUCAAGUCAUCAUGGCCCUUACGACCAGGGCUACACACGUGCUACAAUGGCGCAUACAAAGAGAAGCGACCUCGCGAGAGCAAGCGGACCUCAUAAAGUGCGUCGUAGUCCGGAUUGGAGUCUGCAACUCGACUCCAUGAAGUCGGAAUCGCUAGUAAUCGUGGAUCAGAAUGCCACGGUGAAUACGUUCCCGGGCCUUGUACACACCGCCCGUCACACCAUGGGAGUGGGUUGCAAAAGAAGUAGGUAGCUUAACCUUCGGGAGGGCGCUUACCACUUUGUGAUUCAUGACUGGGGUGAAGUCGUAACAAGGUAACCGUAGGGGAACCUGCGGUUGGAUCACCUCCUUACCUUAAAGAA
rnacentral:rRNA from 2 species